rnacentral:rRNA from 1 species
GUAAGGGUCUGGGGUGGAUGCCUCGGCUGCCCGAGGGGAUGAAGGGCGUGUAAAGCUGCGAUAAGCCGGGUGGAGGCGCAAAAUGCCGUUGAGGCCCGGAUGCCCGAAUGGGGAAACCCGGCAGGGUGUUGAGCCCUGUCAUCCGCGUAAAGCGGAGCCGAUACGGGGCGAAGUAAAACAUUCUAGUAGCCCCAGGAAAGGAAAUCAAAACGAGACUCCCCGAGUAGCGGCGAGCGAAAGGGGACCAGCCCAAACCGCACGGGUGCCAUGGUGGCAGCCUUAGCUCGUGCGGGGUUGCGGGACGUAUCCGGAGGGGGCUGCCAACCCCUCAGGGAGUUACAAAACUUCCACCUAGCCGAAGUGAGCUGGAAUGCUCCGCCAUAGAGGGUGAAAGCCCCGUAGGCGAAAGGUGAGAAGUCUCCCGGGGAUACGAUCCCAAGUACCACGGCCCUCGUGGAAGGUCGUGGGAAUCAGGGGGGACCUCCCUCCAAGGCUAAGUACUCCGGGCAGACCGAUAGCGUAUAGUACCGUGAGGGAAAGGUGAAAAGAACCCCGGAAGGGGAGUGAAAUAGAACCUGAAACCCCAGAUCCACAAGCCAGUGGAAGGGUCCUUUUGGGCCCGACUGCGUGCCUUUUGCAAAAUGAGCCAGGGAGUUGUCCUCAGCGGCGAGGUUAAGCCGUUAGGCGAAGCCGUAGCGAAAGCGAGUCCGAAUAGGGCGUUAAGUCGCUGGGGGCAGACGCGAAGCGGAACGAUCUACCCAUGCCCAGGGUGAAGGACGGGUAAUGCCGUCUGGAGGCCCGAACGGGUCGGUGCUGCAAAACCGUCCGAUGAGGUGUGGGUAGCGGUGAAAAGCCAAUCGCGUUCCGUGAUAGCUCGUUCUCCCCGAAAUAGGUCGACGCCUAGCGUCACCCGUUCCUUCCCGGAGGUAGAGCCACUGGUUGGGCUAGGGCCUCGAGAGAGGUACCGAACCCUGCCAAACUCCGAAUGCCGGGAUAGGUAGGGUGGCAGUCAGUCCCCGGGGGAUAAGCUCCGGUGGACAAGAGGGAAACAGCCCAGACCGCCAGCUAAGGUCCCAAAAUCCGGGCUAAGUGGGGAAGGAUGUGCGGCUGCUAAGACAGCCGGGAGGUUGGCUUAGAGGCAGCCAUCCUUUAAACAGUGCGUAACAGCUGACCGGCCGAGCGGCCGUGCGCCGAAAAUUUAGCGGGGCUAAGCCCGGUACCGAAGCUGCGGGCUCGCGUAAGCGAGCGGUAGGGGAGCGUUCCCUGUGGGCUGAAGUCUCACCGUAAGGUGGGAUGGACUGCAGGGAAGUGAGAAUCCUGGCAUGAGUAGCAGCGAAGACAGGUGAGAAACCUGUCCGCCGGAAGCCCAAGGUUUUGGCGGCAAUGUAAAUCAUCCGCCAGUUAGCCGGGACCCUAAGGCGAGGCCGAAAGGCGUAGCCGAUGGGAAGCGGGUCAACAUUCCCGCGCCAGCGGUGUGGAGCCAGAGUCGUGACGCAGGAGGCUAGGGAGAGCCGGCUAUGGAAUGCCGGUCCAAGGUAGUAGGAGGGGGUGGCAGGCAAAUCCGUCACCCCAUACUCCGAGAGCCGAUGGGGUAACUCUCCUGACGCCACACUGCCGAGAAACAACGGCGCUGGCGUUGAAGCACCGCUGCCCGUACCGGAAACCGACACAGGUGGGCUGGGUUAGUAGCCUAAGGCGUCGGGGGAACUCUCCUCAAGGAACUCGGCAAGUUGCCCCCGUACCUUCGGAAGAAGGGGGGCCCACGGAAGUGAAGCCUCCUCGGCGUAAGCUUCUGUGGGUCGCAGAGACCGGGCGGUGCCGACUGUUUACCAAAAACACAGGACUACGCAAACCCGUAAGGGGAUGUAUGUGGUCUGAAGCCUGGCCAGUGCCCGUAGGUUAAGGGGAAGGGUGCAAGCCCUGAACCGAAGCCCGGGUAAACGCCGGCCGUAACUCUGACGGUCCUAAGGUAGCGAAAUUCCUUGUCGGGUAAGUUCCGACCUGCAUGAAUGGCCCAACGAGUGCCGCACUGUCUCGAGGAGAGUCCCGGCGAAAUUGUGAUGCCGGUCAAGACGCCGGCUACCCGCGGCAGGACGGAAAGACCCCGUGAAGCUUCACUGCAGCCUGGUAUUGAGUCUUAGCUUGUCUUGCGCAGGAUAGGUGGGAGCCUGUGAAGUCCCUCCUCCGGGAGGGAUGGAGGCGCCGGUGAGAUACCACCCUGGACAAGCUGAGACUCUAACCCAGCCAAGUUAUCCUUGGCGGGGACCGUGCCAGGUGGGCAGUUUAGCUGGGGCGGCUGCCUCCUAAAAAGUAACGGAGGCGUCCAAAGGUACCCUCAGGCGGGUCGGAAAUCCGCCGUAGAGUACAAGGGCAGAAGGGUGCCUGACUGUGAGGCCGACAGGCCGAGCAGACGCGAAAGCGGGGCCUAGUGACCCACCGGUUCCACGGGGAAGGGCCGGUGAUCAGCGGAUAAAAGCUACUCCGGGGAUAACAGGCUAAUCUCCCCCGAGAGCCCACAUCGACGGGGAGGUUUGGUACCUCGAUGUCGGCUCCCCCCAUCCUGGGGCUGAAGCAGGUCCCAAGGGUUGGGCUGUUCGCCCAUUAAAGGGGGACGCGAGCUGGGUUCAGAACGUCGCGAGACAGUUCGGUCCCUAUCCGCCGCGGGCGCAGGAGUCUUGAGGGGGUCCGUCCCUAGUACGAGAGGACCGGGACGGGGCAGGCUCUGGUGUACCGGUUAUCUCUCCAGAGGUAGCGCCGGGUAGCCAUCCUGCUACGGGAUAAGCGCUGAAAGCAUCUAAGCGCGAAGCCCACCCCAAGAUAAGGACUCCCUGAAGGGCCGUGGGAGACUACCACGUUGAUAGGCCGCAGGUGGAAGCUCAGCAAUGGGUGAAGCCGAGCGGUACUAAUAGCCCGUUCGACUUGC